rnacentral:rRNA from 1 species
AUUGAACGCUGGCGGAAUGCUUUACACAUGCAAGUCGAACGGCAGCACGGGGGCAACCCUGGUGGCGAGUGGCGAACGGGUGCGUAAUACAUCGGAACGUGCCCAGUCGUGGGGGAUAACUACGCGAAAGCGUAGCUAAUACCGCCUGAGAUUUUUGGAUGAAAGCGGGGGACCUUUUGGCCUCGCGCGCUUGGAGCGGCCGAUGGCAGAUUAGUGAGUUGGUGGGGUAAAGGCUCACCAAGCCGACGAUCUGUAGCUGGUCUGAGAGGACGACCAGCCACACUGGGACUGAGAUACGGCCCAGACUCCUACGGGAGGCAGCAGUGGGGAAUUUUGGACAAUGGGCGCAAGCCUGAUCCAGCCAUUCCGCGUGCAGGAUGAAGGCCCUCGGGUUGUAAACUGCUUUUGUACGGAACGAAAAGGCUCUGGUUAAUACCUGGAGCUGAUGACGGUACCGUAAGAAUAAGCACCGGCUAACUACGUGCCAGCCGCCGCAGUAACAC